rnacentral:siRNA from 1 species
CCGGGUCGUGCCUCCGGCGCU